rnacentral:lncRNA from 10 species
GGAGGCGCGGUCCUUCCAGCCUCUUGCUCCUGUGAAUCACAGGUCGGCGGGAGCCUUUUUUCCUUUUUUUUUUUUUCCCGGGGAGUCGGCCUCGGGGCUCUGCUCUCCUACCUCAGUCUGCCCUACCCUGGAAUGGGGAAAAUGCGGACAUGCCACUCAGUCCGGCCGCGAACAGUGCUCCAGAACUCAGAGAGUUUUCCAGACGGGUGGAGAUCGCGUUCCCUGCCCGCCGAGGUCCCAUCGCUUCCCUGCUGGGAAGACAAAUGAGGCGCUUUAGCCGUCUCCACGGCCAGCCCCUCCCUCAUAACCCGAGAUUCUUUGUGGGCUCUUAGUCCAUAGCUGCCUUUGAGGUGGUGUAGACCUUGCUAACCAGGACGGCCCAGUAGGCAGAGCUCAUUUUUAUUCCUGUCUGCAAUCGUGCAAAAACGCCUCUUAUGGAAAAGCCAGAGCGCCAGGAGUCAGCAAAACACACUAAAGAUUGGGCAGUCACUGGGGAGAACAUGGCCUGAAGCAACUGAAGAUCCACAAAAGAAGUGAAAAUAGCCUUAACUGAUGACAUUCCACCAUUGAGAUUUGUUCCUGCCCCACCCUAACUGAUACGAUAUAUUCUCCCCCGCCCUUAAGAAGACUCAGCCCGCCUGCACCCAGGUGAAAUAUACAGCCUUGUUGCUCACACAAAGCCUGUUUGGUGGUUUCUUCACACGGAUGCAUGUGACAUUUGGUGCUGAAGACCCAGGACAGGAGGACUCCUUUGGGAGACCAGUGCCCUGUUGUCGCCCUCACUCCGUGAGGAGAUCCACCUAUGAUCUCAGGUCCUCAGACCAACCAGCCCAAGGAACAUCUUGCCAAUUUCAAAUCGGAUAGGAGUGUCAGGCCUCUGAGUCCAAGCUAAGCCAUCAAAUCCCCUGUGACCUGCACGUGUACAUCCAGAUGACCUGAAGCAACUGAAGAUCCACAAAAGAAGUGAAAGUAGCCUUAACUGAUGACAUUCCACCAUUGUGAUUUGUUCCUGCCCCACGCUAACUGAUACCAUAUAUUCUUCCCCCGCCCUUGAGAAUGUACUUUGUACACCUAUCCCAAACCUAUAAGAACUAAUGAUAAUCCUACCACCCUUUGCUGACUCUCUUUUUGGACUCAGCCCGCCUGCACCCAGGUGAAAUAAACAGCCCUGUUGCUCACACAAA